AGGUGUACUGGUUCAGCUGCUGCAGCCUGGACGGAAACACCAGCUCUCACCUGACAAACCAAACAGGUGUCACCACUUGGUCCACGACAUCGUCCACCAUCGCAGAGACAUGGUCCAUGAUCGGAGAGGCAUUGUUGAGGAUGAGGGAGACAUCGUCCACGAUCAGAGACACUGUCCACGAUCGCAGAGACCUUGUCAAAGACGAGAGAGACGUUGUCCAUGAUCAGAGACAUUGUCCCAUGCUUCGUAGAGACCUUGCGAUAGAAUCGGCGGAGACGGGGGUCACCGAUUUGACGGCACUGCCCGCGAUCAUGGAGACAUUGUCGAUGGUCACAGAGACAACGUCUAUGAUCUCAGAGACAUCGUCCACGAUUGCAAAGACAUUGUCCAUGAUCACAGAGACUUUGUCCAUAAUCUCAGAGACCGUGUCCGCGAUCACAGAGACGUAGUCCACGAUCACAGAGAGUCUUUGUACAAUGAAGAAGUUCUUUGAGACCAGGACAGAGACCUCCAGGUGUCACCACUUGGUCCACGACAUCGUCCACCAUCGCAGAGACAUGGUCCAUGAUCGGAGAGGCAUUGUUGAGGAUGAGGGAGACAUCGUCCACGAUCAGAGA